CAGCAGCCGCGGGAACACGGAGGGGGCUAGCGUUGUUCGGAAUUACUGGGCGUAAAGCGCACGUAGGCGGCUUUGUAAGUUAGAGGUGAAAGCCUGGGGCUCAACUCCAGAAUUGCCUUUAAGACUGCACCGCUUGAACGUCGGAGAGGUGAGUGGAAUUCCGAGUGUAGAGGUGAAAUUCGUAGAUAUUCGGAAGAACACCAGUGGCGAAGGCGGCUCACUGGACGACUGUUGACGCUGAGGUGCGAAAGCGUGGGGAGCAAACAGGAUUAGAUACCCCGGUAGUCCCUGUCUCUUAUAU
rnacentral:rRNA from 1 species